rnacentral:misc_RNA from 1 species
GGGACUACUUCGAACUUCCUAGUUUCCUCAACUACCAAAAUUAAGCAACAAAGCUUAAUCACAGAUAUGACUUCUAAUUAACAAAAUUUACUGGCCCUAGACUCACAGAAGGAAUUGCAUAGCAUCAGGAAGACAUUUCUGAAUGCAAAUACAUCAACUGGUCCAAUAUCUCACAGUAAAAUCUCAUAUUAAAGCAUGUAUUAGCAGCACUCCGCAGCUAAACAGCGCUUAAC